AGUGAACGCUGGCGGCGUGCCUAAUACAUGCAAGUCGAACGUGAAAGUUCUUCGGAAUGAGUAAAGUGGCGCACGGGUGAGUAAUACGUGGGAACGUGCCCUAAGGUGGGGAAUAACUGUUGGAAACGACAGCUAAUACCGCAUGGUCUCGAAAGAGUAAAGGUGGCUCGCAAGAGCUACCGCCAUAGGAUCGGCCCAUGUCCCAUUAGCUAGUUGGCGGGGUAAUAGCCCACCAAGGCAACGAUGGGUAACUGGUCUGAGAGGAUGAUCAGUCACACUGGAACUGAGACACGGUCCAGACUCCUACGGGAGGCAGCAGUAGGGAAUAUUGCACAAUGGAGGAAACUCUGAUGCAGCAACGCCGCGUGAGUGAAGAAGGCCCUUGGGUUGUAAWGCUCUUUAGCUAGGGAAGAAGCUGUGCAUGGCUAAUAUCCAUGCAGGGUGACGGUACCUGGAGAAUAAGCACCGGCUAAUCUCGUGCCAGCAGCCGCGGUAAUACGAGAGGUGCAAGCGUUACUCGGAAUCACUGGGCGUAAAGCGCACGUAGGCGGAUUCGAAAGUCAAUUGUGAAAGCCCCGAGCUCAACUUGGGAAUUGCAGUUGAAACUUCGUUUCUUGAAUAUCUGAGAGGGUGGGGGAAUACCUAGUGGAGAAGUGAAAUUCGUAGAGAUUAGGUGGAACACCAGAGGCGAAGGCGCCUGCCUGGCAGAAUAUUGACGCUGAGGUGCGAAAGUGCGGGGAGCAAACAGGAUUAGAUACCCUGGUAGUCCGCACCGUAAACGAUGGAUACUAGGCGUUCGGAGAGUUAACCUCUGAGUGCCAAAGUUUACACAUUAAGUAUCCCG
rnacentral:rRNA from 1 species